CCGGGAGCAGCCUGGGACAGUGGAAGGUGUCCCUGCCAUGGCAGGAACUGGAUGAGAUUUAAGGUCCCUUCUACUACAGCAAGGCAAAGGCUGGUGAAAAAUCCUGCCUGUGGCACAUUUAAUUUGCCAUAAUUUCAAACUUUCUGGAACCAGCAGGGAUGAGCUGAACACUGGAGGAGUUUGGCUGCACUUCAUGGCUAUAUUUGAUAUCGUGACAUGGCUUAGAAAGACUUAGCAUCAAUUCAGCUCAAUUCACCUCCCUCUUCUCCUCUGUGAGAGCAACCUGGCAGGACCUUCCAAGCCCUGCUCCCUCGAGGUGCCCGUUUGGGUGCCCCUGGGUGACUCUCAGAUGUGCUGCAGCUCCUGCCAUGGUGCAAAGCUCCACAUUGGGGAAUCCCCACAGUCCCUCCUCUGCUAUUUCCAGUCCUUCCUUGCAUCCAGAGCACAAAGGAAGGGGGAAAAAAAAGGUAAGUUUUGGAAAGAAUAAAAGGCCAAGCAAGCCCCAUGUCAGAGCGAGUGAGUGUGCAAAGCUUUGAAUCAUCUGACUCCGUGUUUAUCCACUGCUCCGGGGAGGCGGGGGGAGCUGGGGGGAAGCGGAGGAGUUUAGGAAGUUCACAAGCAGAGUGCUUGUGUUUUUUCUGGCACGAAAUUCCCAGUCAUCUGUGUCCCUUCACAAUGCCAUUAACCUCCCAUGCUGGGGCUCGGAGACCCUCAGGAAUGAUCAGGUCCAGCAGGGAUGAGUGGGAUGGUUGUUGCUGGCAGCACCAAAGCUGAACACCGGACAAGGCAGCAGCACAGGGAGCUUUGCCUGUCUGCAAAGAGCCUCUCGGGGUAAAAAACCAAAGACAGACACUACAAAUCCAUCCUGUGCCAGUGCAGCCCAAAGAGAAAAGUGUUAUAAUACUCUGUAAUUUCAGUCAGCCUCAAAGGAGAUGCUUUAUGCGGACAUUAAUCAGCUGCUCAGCUCCUACAAAAGGAAAUAAUGUGAUUUUUAAACAAUGCUGGGGUUUAAUUUGACUCAGCAGCAGCUUAGAGGUGUUUGUCCCUUCACAAGAAGUUCCAGCUGUUUGAAAGUUUGACUACUUGGAUGACAGAGGAAAAAAUACAUAUAUAUGAAUUUAAAUGCUGGUCCUGCCUAGUUUAAAUACCUACAACUUUCAGGGUGAAGCACAGCCUUUUCCAAAGCAAAAUGAAAGAAGCAGUUCUGUGCAUCUUAGGCUGAAGAAGUUAAUUAGUAUGUGGGUGUUAUUUAAAAAGCUAAAUGGGAUUUUAUUGGAAUGCUAAAAUGCAUUUGGCCCAGUUCAGUGCCUUUUUCAAGAGUACCCGAGCUCCCUCCAGUUUCAAGAGGUCAGAGCUUCCCCCUACACUUACUGGUUUUUAGCUUUCAGUGUCUUCCUGAUUAAAUUGUUGCUGUGAUGAAAGUUGAAUAUUUAGGUUGUAUGGAAAGUAGGGAAAUUGACUGUAAAUUGAAGCUGUUUAUUUUUUAAUUUAUUGCCAAGUAAAAAUGUCCAGGGCUGUUAAUUAGUGUUUCACUCCCAGCAGCAGGUGGGACAGGGCAGCUCCUGGCAGCACUUCAAGCAUUCACUGUUGAUAACAUUUAUGGCAGAAUGAGCAAUGUAAGACAUUUUAUUUUGCUGCUUUCUCAAUAAAAAAGAAGAGAAUGGGAUGGAUCAGUUCGAAUUAAACAGCAGCAAAAGUGACAUUAGACAUUUGUGGUUUCAGCUCCCUGGCUGCACUGGUGAGCUCUCCAUCAGGGGGAAUUAAAGGCAAUUUUUAAGCAGCUCUUGUACGUUCAGCUUUGAAGUGACUGUUGUAGAUGUCUUAAAAAAACAGCUGAGCUGCAUUUCUCAAUUUUAGAUACAGGGCUUGAAAAGCCGCCAAGUAACUGAAUGUCCCCGUGUACGUCUGUGAAGUUUAUUGUGUGUGGAAGAAGGUACAGAACACCUCAGCUCCUACUGAUUUCUUCUGCCAUGACAUCUGGGCUGAUGGAAACGGCAAAAUGCCACUGGGGGUUCACAGGAAUUGUUUUUUAGGUCCAGGGAAGUGCAACAGAUUCCUGUCACUGUGCACUAGUUCCUCACAAUUGCGCACAAGGGUUUGUAGCUCAGUGCUUGCACACUGGAUUUUUAUCUUACAUUCACGAGUUUCUUUUCCUCUCCUUUUCCCCUUGUUUCCAGCUUUUCCUCCUUUGUAGCCUCCUUCACAGUCUUCCACAUUACCACCUUCUCCAUAUACAGUAUUUUUCUUCUCUGGAUUUCAUUUCUUUUCUGCAGUUCUGUGUGGGGAGCACAAGACUUCACAAGCUCCAGCAUGGAUGUCUGAGGAGUCACUGAAUGAUCAGAGUGGUGGCCAAACACAGGAGGUGCUGAUGCCAAAUCCAUGGAUGUAUCCAUGGCAGGAGAAGCAGAUGACACAGGGAGGCUCAGGCUACAUUUCCUGAGAAUCUUCUCAACAGCAAGAGACUUUGCUAAGAGUUAUUUGAUGGAAUUUGUGCUGGAGCCCUCUGGAAAAAAAGUUCUUUAAUUUUUAUGCAUUCAAAGCUCUGUAGAUUUUCACUUCAAUUUGCUCCACAGAAACUGAUCUGAAUGUAAAGAAUGCUUCAAUCAACAUCUUUUAGCAUAAAUGAUACACUGGAAACAUUACAAAACAUUAACUAUUCAGUUACAUCCCAGGGUCCCAUGGCUUUUAUCCCACAUACAAUGAAAUGUAUGAGGCCUGGAGCAGGCUGAGAGGUAAAGGUUAAAUUAUGGAUAUGUAUUCAGCUUUUUGAGAAGUCUGAGAAGCUGUCAGGCCCCACAGCCCCUCUCCCAUGAAAGGCUUGUCAGCACGUGUUCCCAGAGCGGUGGGAGAGCCGCGCCGGCAGCCCGAGGAGCCGAGCAGGAUGUCAGGAGCUGAAAGGCUGCAGAAGAAUAGAACGAGUAGUGGUCUAUAAACCCACUAUAACUCCUGUUUGUUCCUUUGGCACUGCAAAACCACUCCAAAACAGAGGCCAACUGUUAACAGAGGCAAAGCCAACUCCAUCUUUUGCAGGCUGACAAAUGGUCAUGUAAGUUACCAAAUAACCCAAGACCUUGGGAUUAAACUUCUCCAAUUGUUUUCACAUGAUGCAACUUUAAAUCUUUCUUUUGAACAGUAUUAAAUUUCCUUUCAUUCCCAUAAACUUCAGAAAAAGUUGACUGCUCUCACAUUUCAGACUGUGACCCAGCUAACUUGCACUUUUCCCCUCUGCUAGUCUGGAGAACAGAAUAAUGAAAUUCAGACAACAGUGACCAAAUGUUGUUCCGUAGAACUUUCCUUUUACAAAACAGAUGAAUACUCCUGGGCUCCAAAACACUGCAGGGAACAAAACUUUCAAACCUUAUGGAAAUAAAAUAGUAAGCCUGUGCAGUGACUUCAUCUCCUUUAUCAGAUCAGAGACAUUUUCAUUGGAAUUGAAAUGGAUUUUUUAAAAAAAAUCAACUCUAAAUAGAGGAAAAUAAUUUAAAAAUCCCACUGAAGCCAUUAUUGAAAUACUACUUUAUUUAAAACCCCCACACCCAUGUGAGAGAAAGUUAAAUUUCACAGAGCUUUAGAGGGAGAAAACGUCUUCAUCAUCCUCAUAAUUGACAUAAUUCUUUGUUGCAGAUAGAAGUGUGCCUUCGUAACACAGGAAAACAAACAUUUUAGUGUUUGUGAUUCACAAGGAGAUAAGCAGAUGCAUUGUGUGCUGUGACUGGGACAAAGGGCCAUAGAGAGGGACCACAGACACUCUUGGGGGCCUUGGCCACUGCAGGGGCUGGAAUUUCUCCGUGGAGGUGCUGAGCUCUCCGGGAUCCCACUGGAACCCCACCACGGCAGUGCCCUCAGCAUCCUGCCAGACGAGGCCCUGUAUUUACACAAGGAGAAAUCCCCUCUGUGCUGCAGCUCUGCUGCUGCUGGGAGUGGGAUUGAAAUCACUUAAGCCCACUGCAAAUUCAGCCACCAGAGUCAAAAUAAAAGGAGCCAAAAUAUAUAAAUCCGGCAGACGAGGUUUAUGGGGGAACUAAACCAAACAUUCACCGCGAAGAUUUAGUGCAGCCAAAUUGUUCUACGUGAACGGGGUACCUCAGCUCAUGGUGGGGCACAUCUCUGGGUUACUGCUGUGCUAAACUCAUGCUGAUAGCAAUAAAAGUUUUACUUGCAAAAUGAGUGGAAAACACGAGAUGGUAGAUAGGACAAUACAAGUCUAUAAACCUGAUACCUAAACCCUGCUCUCAGGGCUUUGCCAACCCCCCGCUAACUUCCAUGCAAAUUCCACCCGUGGAUCCCCAGUGUUUGUCUUAAUUGGAAGUCUUAAAGGUGAAUUGAAAUGUUGUUGGAAUAAAAACCUGUUGAAGGUGCCAAAUCCCUGUGUAGACUUACAAGUAAAUAAAUUGUAAAGGCUGACUAGGGGCCUUCUUAUUAACCUGUCAAACCACCAGCCCUGGAAUCUCUUUUUCUCCUGCAAAAAUUGUGGUGUUCUCCUUCCUCUAAUGAUUGAAGUAUUUUACUGCCUCACAUGCCUGGCCACAAAGAUGAGAAUGUUUAGGUGGUGAUGAAAUCUCCUUGUUCAUCCUGAAGAUGCUGUGGUCCUUGCUGGCAGGAAGGGCUGGGGCUCCCUGCAAGUGGUGGGAAGUGAUGGAUUAUGACAACUGGGUGUAAUAUUUGUUCAGUUUUCCAAACUAUUGCCUUAAUAACUUUCUCUCUGAAUCAGAUUUUUUGAGGAUUGGGUUGGUUGAUUCCUUUUGGAAGAAGCAAACAAACUCUGUGUGAGGAACUUGGAAGUUACAGAGCAGUUUCACCUGAAAUUACCUGAGAUGUUUUGCAAAAGGACAACUUGGUCAUGCCCAAACUGAGCUGUGAAUCCAUGCCCUUCUUUUCCACGCUCCCUUCUGGAGUUAAUGAGAAAGACAUAAAAUAAUUGCAGUUUCCUCCCUAAGGAUAACUACAAAGCCCAGCACCUGAAGUGUGAAUGCCCAGCCUGGGUGAGUGUUUGGAAGUGUCACUGUUACACACUUCUCCCACUGACUGCACCCCGUCUGCUCCUUAAAUGAGCACUUCCAAAGUGCCCAGCACAAUGGAUGUCAAAUGGAAUGAAAGGCUGGGGUGUCAGUUCAAAGGACAAAGUCCUAACAACAACAAAACUAAUCUGUAAGAAGCGUGCCAAUAUUUGCAUAUGUUAUUAAGUAGUUGCUGGUGCUGGUGUCCCAUUGCCACCCUCCUUUUCCCAGAAGGGUGAUGGUAUGUUUUAUGGAGGUACGUCAUUCAGGGAUGUGAAGAACAGAGUUCUCCUGAGAUAUAAAUAUAUGUAUAUUUAUUCACAUAUAUAAAGUUCCAGUGUAAUACACACAUGAAAGAAUUGUGGUCUGUUUCAAGGCUUUUCCUUUCAUCUUUUCCAUAGUUUUCUGCCAAUUUUCAAAGUGCUCCCAGACCACAGACUGAAGGAAAUUAUCUGAACAAGGCUGACCUUCACCUCCUGAUGCUCCCUGUGCCAUUCCCCAGGGCUCCCCCUGUCCCCUGAGCCCCACAGUGCUCCCUGUUCCCUGUGCUGCUGAGCCUUUGCUUUCCUCUUAAAGCAAAGGAAAGAUUCCACCUGAGGAGACAGAGCUGUUGCAAAGACUGGCACAAAUCAGCUCCUCCUCACUGGCCUGACCUGCUGCCUUCAGGAUGAAACUACUUACUCUCAUACCUCCCAUCCCUUUUAAAUAAACACAUUGUGCUGCACUUGCUCCUGAAACUUCACCAGAAAAUAAAGCUGGCAUCAAGUGGACAAUGUUUUCACCUGAGUUAGACAGAAUUCCUUUCCUAAAGAACUCAGUAUAAGUUACGUCUAAAUCUUCCACUUUUAAUGGAACAGCAAUUGUUUUUCAUCUUAUGGUUUAAAAAUCCAUGGUGAAAUCAGAUUUACACUGAGUCUUUCCAUGGAUGCACAGAUUCUAGGAAUCCAGGGAAGUUCUAACCUCACUUCCAGCUUAGACUCUGGAAGCCUGAACACACUGGUGUAAUUCCAGUUGAAUUUCAAGUGGGCAAAGGAUGAUUGAUAUGGCCUCAAAGGGUGGAACCAGAAAAUCUGGUGUAGAUUAAUAGGAAUAUUAGUGAAAGCUGGAAAGGAAAACAAGGAUUCUUUUCUAAUGUGACAUGAUACUUAAGAACACACAUUGUCAGUAACUACAAAUGUGUAAUGUUUCUCUUUUAUUUUGCCGUACUUCUGACACGAUUCUCAUACAAUACUCUGCUUAUCAUCCUCUUGUGAGGUUUAUUGUACUUACAAAUCAUUCCCAGACAGCUUCUUUGCUAUCUUUUCAUUAAAAAAAAAAAAAAAAAAGAAGAAGAAAGUUUUGUGGAUAAUACAUUUUCCCUGCGGGAACUAAUUCCACAAAGAUACUGACUACAAGCUUGUCGUUGUUUUAAAAUAUGUGGACAUGUAUCAAAUGGUUGAUUCUUCUCCCCAGAGUCACCUUCUGAAGCUUUAUGUGUGCACUUCAUCUCCCAAGCAUCCUGAGACCACAGAGGAGAAACUCCAACUGUCCUCCCAAGCCAGAGCUUACCCCUACCCCAAAUUCUUCUUGCCAUCAGAUCACUGUGGAUACUCUGUGAUAUCCCUUCUUGGGUCUUUAGGGCUGUGUCCACUCCAGUUCCUUUGUUUAAUAUAUUUUUAGCCUUUCCACUGUGGGAUGACAGACUGCAGCAUGUUAAAGCAGGGAGAAUAUUUGUAUUGAUUUCCAAAUGCUGCAGAUUGAGAGCAGAUGUACCACGUAUUCCCCAAACGUAUGUUUUAACUUUCAUUUAUGUGCUGUGCUGAGCAGUCUGCGAGCCAGGAAGUGAUUUAUAUCUGCUAAUUGCAUGCACUUUGGUAGAUUUGCAGCUAAAAAUAAGUGGUUUGUUUUUUAAUUAUAAAUGAUUUAUCCUCUCACGCUGCAUGGAGCUUAAACUUCGAAGCUAAAUGAGAACUUGGAGAAUCUGCAUUUAGUUCCUGCAUCUGCCACAGAAUGUUUUUGUAUCUUUAGUGGGUUAUCCCUGUGCCCAGCUCAGAGGAAUAUGGAUCUCAUGGACAUGUUAUUUCAUUACACAACAGAGAGAUGAAGGAAACA